AUGAAGUUAAUGUAAUGUUCACAAACAGUAGAGUUAAUGAGUUUUUCCAUUAACAAGAAUUUCUUAAAAUAAUAAUGUAUGUAUAUCAUUUGGAAAGUGACAUGAAAUGUUGUUAAAAAGUGAUGCAUACAAGUGUUUCAGAAGUCUGUCUAGGAAUAGAACAACAACUGAAGCUGACCAGUUGAUGAAAGAUACUGCAGAGUUUGGCAGGGAAAUAACCCAAGACAGCAAAGCAGCUCUUUUGGCGCAUUUACUAAGAGGACUAACAUGGCCACAAAUUCAUGAGAUCAUGCAGGAGCCGUACAGUAUAACAGCAGUACAAGUUCUAUAAAAGAUCCACGACCUACUGAAGCCCUGCUAAUUAACAAAAAAGUUUUCAAAAACUGUAAUUUUAUCCCACCUGGGUACUUAUAAUUUACUAAGCUGCCUACACAAGUUUUAGACUUGCAAUUAUAUUUUUAACUGUCACUUGGAAAGUAAUACAUGUACAUGCAUUAUGCAAAGUAUUUUAAUGAAAUUGAGCACCUAAAUUGCAUGAAAGUGAAAGUACAAUGUAGCUGAGAAAAAUAGUAUCCUUGUGCUCAUGGGCAGCUACAUAUAUUGUGACAAACAUGAAAUAGCUAAAAAAACUUAAAUUUUUCAUUUUGUUUCUUGUAUAUCGUUUGUACAGGGUUCAUGAAUUGUUACUGUAUAUUACUUGACUUGCUUGUAUUUUGUUACUUUGAAUACAUGUUGUGAAGGUUGCAUUAUACUUUUUAACUUUUAAAGUAGCGCCUGUUCUGUUAUGUAAGGGCCUGAUUUAUGAUAAUGGACAUAGAGGCUUUGUAAGCAUGUAUUAAACAACACUUGUUUGAUCUGAAUAAUUUGUUAAAUAAAUGUAACACAAUU